rnacentral:rRNA from 1 species
GAGUUUGAUCAUGGCUCAGAAUCAACGCUGGCGGCGUGCCUCAGACAUGCAAGUCGAACGAUUAAAGCUCCCUUCGGGGAGUGCAUAGAGUGGCGCACGGGUGAGUAACACGUGAGUAAUCUACCCUCGAGUGGGGAAUAACGUCCGGAAACGGACGCUAAUACCGCAUAAUGCAGCGGCACCGCAAGGUGACAGUUGUUAAAGAUUUAUCGCUUGAGGAGGAGCUUGCGGCAGAUUAGCUAGUUGGUAAGGUAAUGGCUUACCAAGGCUACGAUCUGUAUCCGGUCUAAGGGGACGGUCGGACACACUGACACUGAAUAACGGGUCAGACUCCUACGGGAGGCAGCAGUCGAGAAUUUUGGGCAAUGGGCGAAAGCCUGACCCAGCAACGCCGCGUGAAGGAUGAAGUAUUUCGGUAUGUAAACUUCGAAAGAAUGGGAAGAAUAAAUGACGGUACCAUUUAUAAGCUCCGGCUAACUACGUGCCAGCAGCCGCGGUAAUACGUAGGGAGCAAGCGUUGUUCGGAUUUACUGGGCGUAAAGGGCGCGUAGGCGG